rnacentral:rRNA from 1 species
UACGUAGGGAGCAAGCGUUGUCCGGAAUUAUUGGGCGUAAAGAGCUCGUAGGCGGCUUGUCGCGUCGUCCGUGAAAACCUGCGGCUCAACUGCAGGCUGGCGGUCGAUACGGGCAGGCUGGAGUUCGGUAGGGGAGACUGGAAUUCCUGGUGUAGCGGUGAAAUGCGCAGAUAUCAGGAGGAACACCGGUGGCGAAGGCGGUGGUCUGGGCCGACACUGACGCUGAGGAGCGAAAGCGUGGGGAGCGAACAGG